GGGGCUGGACGCUCCUCACUCUUAACAGUUCCAGGGCACCCCCUGCUCCUCUUCGAAGGGCGCCCCCAGGUAUUCCGGGCUCCGCCAGCCUGUGUCUCCUCCCUCCCUCCUCCCUUUGUCAGCUCCUCCAGCCUCGAACCCGGAGAGCGGCUUUCAGCGGUGCCCGAGGGGUACGGUGCACCCCGUGCUCCGGCGCCCGGGUUGUGUCGUUCCUGCCUCUCCCCGUCCCAUUUCUGUGCCCCAUGAUCCUGAUGGAAGAAAGGGGUGUCAGGGCUGGGGCUGAUGACCGGACGGGAGAACGCGGCUCCCGGGUAGCGAGGGCCGAGGGCGGGGUCCCCGGGCCCGAGUCCCAGAGCGCUGCUUGGUACCAGCUGGGCUCCCAUGAGGUUCUGAGGAGUUCGCACCCUGGUCGCGCAGGCCGACUGCAACUUCCGAGUGGCUCCAGGGGCCUGCAGUGGGAUGACGGUGUGUAGCCUGAUUGGACACUGCUGAAGGACAGGUCAGCUGCUGACCAGAAGCUGUGUUUGUGCCUUGGAGGAAGAUGGUGACAAAGUGGUGAAGUGAAAUACAGAGGAAGAAAAUUGGUGUGAAGAAAAAUGGCUAAAUCAAGAGCAGGGAGCUGAUCCCAAGGGCAGACAGAGCCUUUUUUUUUUUUCUUUUUUUUUAAUAUCUAGACUCCUGAGAAAGCAGAAGAUGAGAGUAGUUUAGCACAGCUUUCAGCUUUCAGUGGGAUUUCUGACAUGCAAUUUUGAGGCUGUUUCUAAAGCAUGAUGAGAAGAACUGAUGCAAAGUCUCACAAAUACUCAAGAAUAUUAGGUUUUUAGUAAGCAUGAUGGUGGUAAAGUAGUAACAAUAUUAUUUUGUAAUAAUAUUUUUCUGGUAGAUUUAAAGAUAUUUUAAAUCUGAAACAAAUAUUUAAUAACAACA
rnacentral:lncRNA from 1 species